rnacentral:rRNA from 1 species
GAUGAACGCUAGCUACAGGCUUAACACAUGCAAGUCGAGGGGCAGCGCAGUGUAGCAAUACAUGGGCGGCGACCGGCGCACGGGUGCGUAACGCGUAUCCAACCUUCCCGUUACUCUUGGAUAGCCUUCCGAAAGGGAGAUUAAUACAAGAUGGUAUUCAAAUUCCGCAUGUUAUUUGAAUUAAAGAUUCAUCGGUAACGGAUGGGGAUGCGUGACAUUAGAUAGUAGGCGGGGUAACGGCCCACCUAGUCUACGAUGUCUAGGGGUUCUGAGAGGAAGGUCCCCCCACACUGGAACUGAGACACGGUCCAGACUCCUACGGGAGGCAGCAGUGAGGAAUAUUGGUCAAUGGUCGGAAGACUGAACCAGCCAAGUAGCGUGAAGGAUGAAGGUUCUAUGGAUUGUAAACUUCUUUUAUACGGGAAUAAAACCUCCCACGUGUGGGAGCUUGUAUGUACCGUAUGAAUAAGCAUCGGCUAACUCCGUGCCAGCAGCCGCGGU